rnacentral:rRNA from 1 species
UACAGAGGGUGCAAGCGUUAAUCGGAAUUACUGGGCGUAAAGCGUGCGCAGGCGGCUUUGCAAGACAGAUGUGAAAUCCCCGGGCUCAACCUGGGAACUGCAUUUGUGACUGCAGGGCUGGAGUACGGCAGAGGGGGAUGGAAUUCCGCGUGUAGCAGUGAAAUGCGUAGAUAUGCGGAGGAACACCGAUGGCGAAGGCAGUCCCCUGGGCCUGUACUGACGCUCAUGCACGAAAGCGUGGGGAGCAAACAGG